rnacentral:lncRNA from 1 species
UCAUUCUUUUUCUUUUUCUUUUUCUUUAUUUCAAUUAAAAUCAUCAGAUUCUUUAUUUUUAAAAGAGUUUUAAAAAUAAUAAAAAAUAUAAAUAAAUUACAUAAAUUUAAACUAAAUAUUCAAAUAAUCCUCAUUAAUUUCACCGACUAUUUUGGCUAAACAACAAAAAUAAAUGGAUAAAUAAAAAGAAUAAAAAUCGGGAAAAAAAAUACUCGAAAAAAAAACUGAACUCAUUAAA